CCUUCAAACAAGGUCCACAAGGAACAGCUCUCUGGCGAGAAGUGCAAAUGGGUGGGACGAUCGACUCAGAGCCGGCUCCCUCCCUCCCUGCUCCUCCUCCUCCCUCCCUCCUCCUCCGCCUCGGAGGAGAGGAGGAGGAAAGCAGGAGGGCCGAAGGCGACGUCGCGAUUCGAAAUGCAAGAAGAUCAUAGUAGUCACACUUUUCUUUUGGGGCAUCAGUGAUCAGUAUCAAUGGCUGCUGGAGAGGAGAACACUUCACUUUUCCUAAUUUUCAUCUUAGCCAUGAUUGCACUUCCUUUAGUGCCUUAGACAACACUGAAGUUAUGUUGUGCUGCAACUAAGAAAACAAAGAAAACUCAUUGCCAAUACUCUGUAUGUUCAUGUUCAGGGAAGUACCGGAAAUCCAUAUAUAAGCAAAUCUCAAACUUUUCAACAUGUAGUAAUCUGACCAUUUGGGUGCUCUGGGUUGUCAUGGUGUUUUUGAUUUGCUCCGUCAAACUUAUAAGCCAAGAGCUUAGCUCAAGCUCAGACCAAGCUUAGCAAAUUUCUAUUCAGGCUCAGGUCUUGUGCCACUUGGAUGAACCAAGAUAUCAAGCCUGUGAUUAUUUCUAUGAACCAGCAACUAUUGAAGUUUCAUUGGUCUUUGGCAGAGCUUGAAAACAAAGAGUACA